rnacentral:rRNA from 1 species
CUAGUUGGUAGGGUAAUGGCCUACCAAGGCAACGAUGGUUAGCUGGUCUGAGAGGAUGAUCAGCCACACUGGAACUGAGACACGGUCCAGACUCCUACGGGAGGCAGCAGUGAGGAAUAUUGCGCAAUGGGGGCAACCCUGACGCAGCAACGCCGCGUGAGUGAGGAAGGUUUUCGGACCGUAAAGCUCUGUCGAGCGGGAAGAAAUGCAUGCUGGCUAAUAUCCAUCAUGCUUGACGGUACCGCUAGAGGAAGCACCGGCUAACUCCGUGCCAGCAGCCGCGGUAAUACGGGGGGUGCAAGCGUUGUUCGGAAUUAUUGGGCGUAAAGAGCGUGUAGGCGGUUGGACAAGUCAGAUGUGAAAGCCCUGGGCUUAACUCAGGAAGUGCAUUUGAAACUGUUCAGCUGGAGUAAGGGAGAGGAAAGUGGAAUUCCUGGUGUAGAGGUGAAAUUCGUAGAUAUCAGGAGGAACACCGGUGGCGAAGGCGACUUUCUGGCCCUAUACUGACGCUGAGACGCGAGAGCGUGGGUAGCAAACAGGAUUAGAUACCCUGGUAGUCCACGCUGUAAACGAUGUUCACUAGGUGUUGGGAGUAUUGACCCUCUC